rnacentral:rRNA from 1 species
UACGUAGGGCGCAAGCGUUGUCCGGAAUUAUUGGGCGUAAAGAGCUCGUAGGCGGUUUGUCGCGUCGGGAGUGAAAACCAGGUGCUUAACACCUGGCUUGCUUUCGAUACGGGCAGACUAGAGGUAUUCAGGGGAGAACGGAAUUCCUGGUGUAGCGGUGAAAUGCGCAGAUAUCAGGAGGAACACCGGUGGCGAAGGCGGUUCUCUGGGAAUGACCUGACGCUGAGGAGCGAAAGUGUGGGGAGCGAACAGG